CCUGGUUGGUCCUGCCAGUAGCAUUUGCUUGUUUCAAAGAUUACACCAUGCACGUGUAAAUACCGAAGGUACAGGGAAACUGCGAAUGGCUCAUCAAAUCAGUUAUGGAUCCUUUGAUCGCUCUAUUUGAUACUUGGAUAACUAUGGUAAUUCUAAAGCCAACAAAUGCCAACGAGUGCUGACUUCCCAGGAUGCAUGCAUUUAUCCGAUCAACGCCAAUCCAGGCUUGUCCAUUCACUUUGGUGACUCUAUAUAACCUCAGGCUGAUCGCACGUCCCUGUGAUGGCGAGAAUACAUUCGGAUGUCUUCCCUAUCAACUUUCGAUGGUACUUUCUGUGCCUACCAUGGUGACCAUGGGUAACGGGGCAUCAGGGUUUGAUUCUGGAGAGGGAGUAUGAGAAAUGGCUACAACAGCCAAGGAAGCCAGAAGGCGUGCAAAUUACCCACUCUCGACUCGGGAAGGUAAUCAUGAAAAAUAACAAUAGAGGACUCUUUCAAGGCCCUGCAAAUGAAAUAAGUACACCUAAAUCCUUUAACGAGGAUUCAUUGGAGGCACAGUCUGGUGCCAGCAGCCGCAGUAAUUCCAGUUCCAAUAGCGUAUAUUAAUGUUGCUGCAGUUAAAAUGCUCAUAGUUGGAUUUUAGGAUUGUGCUGGCAGUCUGCCGUAAACCGAGCUACUGGCUGUCCUAACCCUACCUCUUGGCGCACCCUGUUCUUGAGUGAGUGUCCUGGGGGUCAGAAGCCUUUACUUUGAAAAUAUUAGAGUGUUCAAAGCAGGCCAGUCACCUGCAUACUUCAGCUAGGAAUAAUGGAAUAGGACACUGGUUACAUUUUGUGUGUUUCAGAACUGGAGCUAUGAUUAAGAGGGACAGCUGGGGGCAUUCAUAUUGUACCAAAAGAGGUGAAAUUCUUGGACUGGUGCAAGAUGAACCAAGGCAAAAGCAUUUGCCAAAAAUGUUUUCAUUAAUCAAGAACGAAAGUCGGAGCUUUGAAGAUGAUCAGAUUUUGUUGCUGUUCAGGCCAUAAACAAUGCCAACUAGCGAUUUGGCUGUGUUAUUCCCAUGAUCCGCCGAACAGCUCCGGGAAACAAAAGUCUUUGGGUUACACAGGGCACAUCAUUGCAAAGCUGAAACGUAAAGGAAUUGAUGGAGGGCACCACCAAGUGUGGAGCCUGUGGCUUAAUUUGACUCGACACCGGAAACCUCACCCGGCCUGGACACGGAAAUGAUUGACAGAUUCAUAGCUCUUUCUCAAUUUUGUGGAUGGUGGAGCAUGGCCGUACUUAGUUGGUGGAGCGAUUUGUCUGACUAAUUCCGAUAACUAAUCAGAUUCCUCCAUGCUAACUUGUUACGUGACCCCCUGCAGUUGAAGUUCGACUCCUUAGAGGGACAAGUGGCAAUCAGUCACAUGAGAUUAAGCAAUAAGAGGCCUAUGAUGCCCUUAGUUGUCUCAGGCUGCACCGCUCUACACUUAAUGGAUUAGCGUGUGUCUACCGUUUGCUGACAGGUGCGGGUAACCCACUGAACCCCGCUCAGGAUAGGGAUCAGUGAUUGAAAUUAUUUUCCAUGAAUGAGAAAGUGUGGGUCAUAGGUUUGUGUUGUUUAAGUUCAUGCCCUUUGUACACAUCGCUUGUCGCUGCUACCGAUUGGAUGGUUUAAUGAGGGCCUCAGAUCAGCCCCGCUGGAGUCGGCAAUGGCCCUUGUGGAGCGUCAAGAAGAUGAUCAAACUUGACUAUUUAGAGGAAGUUAAAGUUGUAACAAGGUUUUCAUAAGUGAAUCUGCAUAAC
rnacentral:rRNA from 1 species